rnacentral:misc_RNA from 1 species
UUGUUUCUUUUUUUUCCCUCACUCGUGAAAUGAAAUUUGUGUGGUUCCUGCUAAAUGAGAACUCUAUGAUUCAGUCUUAUUAUUUGUUUGAAGCUCAAUAAUUUAGUUUUUACCCUACAGAGAUCCUUCUUUUUUUUCUACAUUUCUGUUCUGUGAAUCUAGCUAAUCUUACAAAGAGCUAAUAAAGACCAGCACUUGUAAUCAGUCUGCUUCCCAUGUGGCUUUGCUACAUUUUCUUUUGCUGAAAAAAUUUUCAGUUCU